rnacentral:rRNA from 1 species
CCUACGGGUGGCAGCAGUGGGGAAUAUUGCACAAUGGGGGAAACCCUGAUGCAGCAACGCCGCGUGAGUGAAGAAGUAUUUCGGUAUGUAAAGCUCUAUCAGCAGGGAAGAAGAUGACGGUACCUGAAUAAGAAGCCCCGGCUAACUACGUGCCAGCAGCCGCGGUAAUACGUAGGGGGCAAGCGUUAUCCGGAUUUACUGGGGGUAAAGGGAGCGGAGACGGCAGUGCAAGUCCGGAGUGAAAGGCCGAGGCCCAACCCCGGGUAUGCUCUGGAAACUGGGCGGCUAGAGUGCUGGAGGGGCAGGUGGAAUUCCUAGUGUAGCGGUGAAAUGCGUAGAUAUUAGGAGGAACACCAGUGGCGAAGGCGGCCUGCUGGACAGUAACUGACGUUGAGGCUCGAAAGCGUGGGGAGCAAACAGGAUUAGAUACCCUUGUAGUC